CGUACCUUUUGUAUAAUGGGUCAGCGACUUAUAUUCAGUAGCAAGGUUAACCGUAUAGGGGAGCCGUAGGGAAACCGAGUCUUAAUAGGGCGUUUAGUUGCUGGGUAUAGACCCGAAACCAGGCGAUCUAUCCAUGAGCAGGUUGAAGGUUGGGUAACACUAACUGGAGGACCGAACCCACUGUCGUUGAAAAGCCAGGGGAUGACUUGUGGAUAGGGGUGAAAGGCUAAUCAAGCCUGGUGAUAGCUGGUUCUCCCCGAAAGCUAUUUAGGUAGCGCCUCGGACGAAUACCAUAGGGGGUAGAGCACUGUUUCGGCUAGGGGGUCAUCCCGACUUACCAAACCGAUGCAAACUCCGAAUACCUAUGAGUACUAUCCGGGAGACAGACUGCGGGUGCUAACGUCCGUAGUCAAGAGGAAAACAAUCCAGACCGCCAGCUAAGGCCCCAAAAUCAUAGUUAAGUGGGAAACGAUGUGGGAAGGCAUAGACAGCUAGGAGGUUGGCUUAGAAGCAGCCACCCUUUAAAGAAAGCGUAAUAGCUCACUAGUCGAGUCGGCCUGCGCGGAAGAUGUAACGGGGCUAAAACUAUGUGCCGAAGCUGCGGAUUUGACAUUAGUCAAGUGGUAGGGGAGCGUUCUGUAAGCCGAUGAAGGUGUAUUGAGAAGUAUGCUGGAGGUAUCAGAAGUGCGAAUGCUGACGUGAGUAACGACAAAACGGGUGAAAAACCCGUUCGCCGAAAGACCAAGGGUUCCAGUCCAACGUUAAUCGGGGCUGGGUGAGUCGACCCCUAAGGCGAGGCCGAAAGGCGUAGUCGAUGGGAAAUUGGUUAAUAUUCCAAUACUUCUGUGUAAUGCGAUGAGAGGACGGAGAAGGUUAAGUCAGCCUGGCGUUGGUUGUCCAGGUGGAAGGAUGUAGGUAUGUAUCUUAGGCAAAUCCGGGGUACUCUAUACUGAGAUCCGAUAGCAAGCUGUACUUGUACAGUGAAGUGGCUGAUACCAUGCUUCCAGGAAAAGUCUCUAAGCUUCAGUUACACAGGAAUCGUACCCGAAACCGACACAGGUGGUCAGGUCGAGUAGACCAAGGCGCUUGAGAGAACUCUGCUGAAGGAACUAGGCAAAAUGGUACCGUAACUUCGGGAGAAGGUACGCUGUUGUUGGUGAUGGAACUUGCUUCCUGAGCUGACGACAGCCGCAGAAACCAGGCCGCUGCAACUGUUUAUUAAAAACAUAGCACUCUGCAAACACGAAAGUGGACGUAUAGGGUGUGAUGCCUGCCCGGUGCUGGAAGGUUAAUUGAUGGGGUUAGCGUAAGCGAAGCUCUUGAUCGAAGCCCCAGUAAACGGCGGCCGUAACUAUAACGGUCCUAAGGUAGCGAAAUUCCUUGUCGGGUAAGUUCCGACCUGCACGAAUGGCAUAAUGAUGGCGGCGCUGUCUCCAGCAGAGGCUCAGUGAAAUCGAAAUCGCUGUGAAGAUGCAGUGUACCCGCGGCUAGACGGAAAGACCCCGUGAACCUUUACUGCAGCUUGACACUGAACUUUGACCUUACUUGUGUAGGAUAGGUGGGAGGCUUUGAAGUUGGAACGCUAGUUCCAAUGGAGCCGUCCUUGAAAUACCACCCUGGUAAUGUUGAGGUUCUAACUCUGUCCCGUUAUCCGGGACGAGGACCGUGUCUGGUGGGUAGUUUGACUGGGGCGGUCUCCUCCUAAAGAGUAACGGAGGAGUACGAAGGUGCGCUCAGCGUGGUCGGAAAUCACGCGUAGAGUAUAAAGGCAAAAGCGCGCUUAACUGCGAGACCCACAAGUCGAGCAGGUACGAAAGUAGGUCUUAGUGAUCCGGUGGUUCUGUAUGGAAGGGCCAUCGCUCAACGGAUAAAAGGUACUCUGGGGAUAACAGGCUGAUACCGCCCAAGAGUUCAUAUCGACGGCGGUGUUUGGCACCUCGAUGUCGGCUCAUCUCAUCCUGGGGCUGAAGCAGGUCCCAAGGGUAUGGCUGUUCGCCAUUUAAAGAGGUACGCGAGCUGGGUUUAGAACGUCGUGAGACAGUUCGGUCCCUAUCUACCGUGGGCGCUGGAAAUUUGAGAGGAUCUGCUCCUAGUACGAGAGGACCAGAGUGGACGAACCUCUGGUGUACCGGUUGUGACGCCAGUCGCAUCGCCGGGUAGCUAUGUUCGGAAGGGAUAACCGCUGAAAGCAUCUAAGCGGGAAGCCUACCUCAAGAUAAGAUUUCCCUAGGAAUUUAUUCCUCUAAAGAGCCGUUCGAGACUAGGACGUUGAUAGGUUGGAUGUGGAAGCAUAGUGAUAUGUGAAGCUGACCAAUACUAAUUGCUCGUGAGGCUUGACUA
rnacentral:rRNA from 1 species